CAGGCUUAACACAUGCAAGUCGAGGGGCAGCAUGGUCUUAGCUUGCUAAGGCCGAUGGCGACCGGCGCACGGGUGAGUAACACGUAUCCAACCUGCCGUCUACUCUUGGACAGCCUUCUGAAAGGAAGAUUAAUACAAGAUGGCAUCAUGAGUCCGCAUGUUCACAUGAUUAAAGGUAUUCCGGUAGACGAUGGGGAUGCGUUCCAUUAGAUAGUAGGCGGGGUAACGGCCCACCUAGUCUUCGAUGGAUAGGGGUUCUGAGAGGAAGGUCCCCCACAUUGGAACUGAGACACGGUCCAAACUCCUACGGGAGGCAGCAGUGAGGAAUAUUGGUCAAUGGGCGAGAGCCUGAACCAGCCAAGUAGCGUGAAGGAUGACUGCCCUAUGGGUUGUAAACUUCUUUUAUAAAGGAAUAAAGUCGGGUAUGUAUACCCCGUUUGCAUGUACUUUAUGAAUAAGGAUCGGCUAACUCCGUGCCAGCAGCCGCGGUAAUACGGAGGAUCCGAGCGUUAUCCGGAUUUAUUGGGUUUAAAGGGAGCGUAGAUGGAUGUUUAAGUCAGUUGUGAAAGUUUGCGGCUCAACCGUAAAAUUGCAGUUGAUACUGGAUAUCUUGAGUGCAGUUGAGGCAGGCGGAAUUCGUGGUGUAGCGGUGAAAUGCUUAGAUAUCACGAAGAA
rnacentral:rRNA from 1 species